rnacentral:snRNA from 1 species
UGGCACUCACUCUGGCAGCUAAUAUACUAAAACUGGAACAAUACAGAGAAGAUUAGCAUGGGCCCUGUGCAAAGAUGACACACAAAUUCUUGAAGGGUCCGUAUUUAAA